GACGAACGCUGGCGGCGUGCUUAACACAUGCAAGUCGAACGGAAAGGCCCUGCUUUUGCGGGGUGCUCGAGUGGCGAACGGGUGAGUAACACGUGAGUAACCUGCCCUUGACUUUGGGAUAACUUCAGGAAACUGGGGCUAAUACCGGAUAGGAGCUCCUGCUGCAUGGUGGGGGUUGGAAAGUUUCGGCGGUUAGGGAUGGACUCGCGGCUUAUCAGCUUGUUGGUGGGGUAGUGGCUUACCAAGGCUUUGACGGGUAGCCGGCCUGAGAGGGUGACCGGCCACAUUGGGACUGAGAUACGGCCCAGACUCCUACGGGAGGCAGCAGUGGGGAAUAUUGCACAAUGGGCGGAAGCCUGAUGCAGCAACGCCGCGUGCGGGAUGACGGCCUUCGGGUUGUAAACCGCUUUCGCCUGUGACGAAGCGUGAGUGACGGUAAUGGGUAAAGAAGCACCGGCUAACUACGUG
rnacentral:rRNA from 1 species